rnacentral:misc_RNA from 1 species
GAUGAAGAACGCAGCGAAAUGCGAUAAGUAAUGUGAAUUGCAGAAUUCAGUGAAUCAUCGAAUCUUUGAACGCACAUUGCGCCCCUUGGUAUUCCGAGGGGCAUGCCUGUUCGAGCGUCAUUAUAACCCCUCAAGCUCAGCUUGGUGUUGGGGCCUGCCGCACGGGCAGCCCUUAAAAUCAGUGGCGGUGCCAUCUGGCUCUAAGCGUAGUAAUUCUUCUCGCUAUAGAGUCCCGGUGGAUGCUUGCCAUUAACCCCCAAUUUUCUAUGGUUGACCUCGGAUCAGGUAGGGAUACCCGCUGAACUUAAGCAUAUCAAUAAGCGGAGAA